UACGAAGGGGGCUAGCGCUGCUCGGAAUCACUGGGCGUAAAGCGCACGUAGGCGGAUUGCUAAGUCAGGGGUGAAAUCCUGGAGCUCAACUCCAGAACUGCCUUUGAUACUGGCGAUCUCGAGUCCGGGAGAGGUGAGUGGAACUGCGAGUGUAGAGGUGAAAUUCGUAGAUAUUCGCAAGAACACCAGUGGCGAAGGCGGCUCACUGGCCCGGUACUGACGCUGAGGCACGAAAGCGUGGGGAGCAAACAGG
rnacentral:rRNA from 1 species